AAAUUGAAGAGUUUGAUCAUGGCUCAGAUUGAACGCUGGCGGCAGGCCUAACACAUGCAAGUCGAGCGGUAGCACAGAGAGCUUGCUCUCGGGUGACGAGCGGCGGACGGGUGAGUAAUGUCUGGGAAACUGCCUGAUGGAGGGGAUAACUACUGGAAACGGUAGCUAAUACCGCAUAACGUCGCAAGACCAAAGUGGGGGACCUUCGGGCCUCAUGCCAUCAGAUGUGCCCAGAUGGGAUUAGCUAGUAGGUGGGGUAACGGCUCACCUAGGCGACGAUCCCUAGCUGGUCUGAGAGGAUGACCAGCCACACUGGAACUGAGACACGGUCCAGACUCCUACGGGAGGCAGCAGUGGGGAAUAUUGCACAAUGGGCGCAAGCCUGAUGCAGCCAUGCCGCGUGUGUGAAGAAGGCCUUCGGGUUGUAAAGCACUUUCAGCGGGGAGGAAGGCGAUAAGGUUAAUAACCUUGUCGAUUGACGUUACCCGCAGAAGAAGCACCGGCUAACUCCGUGCCAGCAGCCGCGGUAAUACGGAGGGUGCAAGCGUUAAUCGGAAUUACUGGGCGUAAAGCGCACGCAGGCGGUCUGUCAAGUCGGAUGUGAAAUCCCCGGGCUCAACCUCGGGAACUGCAUUCGAAACUGGCAGGCUAGAGUCUUGUAGAGGGGGGUAGAAUUCCGGUGUAGCGGUGAAAUGCGUAGAGAUCUGGAGGAAUACCGGUGGCGAAGGCGGCCCCCCUCGGACAAAGACUGACGCUCAGGUGCGAAAGCGUGGGGAGCAAACAGGAUUAGAUACCCUGGUAGUCCACGCCGUAAACGAUGUCGAUUUGGAGGUUGUGCCCUUGAGGCGUGGCUUCCGGAGCUAACGCGUUAAAUCGACCGCCUGGGGAGUACGGCCGCAAGGUUAAAACUCAAAUGAAUUGACGGGGGCCCGCACAAGCGGUGGAGCAUGUGGUUUAAUUCGAUGCAACGCGAAGAACCUUACCCCGGUCUUGACAUCCACAGAACUUUCCAGAGAUGGAUUGGUGCCUUCGGGAACUGUGAGACAGGUGCUGCAUGGCUGUCGUCAGCUCGUGUUGUGAAAUGUUGGGUUAAGUCCCGCAACGAGCGCAACCCUUAUCCUUUGUUGCCAGCGGUCCGGCCGGGAACUCAAAGGAGACUGCCAGUGAUAAACUGGAGGAAGGUGGGGAUGACGUCAAGUCAUCAUGGCCCUUACGACCAGGGCUACACACGUGCUACAAUGGCAUAUACAAAGAGAAGCGACCUCGCGAGAGCAAGCGGACCUCAUAAAGUAUGUCGUAGUCCGGAUUGAGUCUGCAACUCGACUCCAUGAAGUCGGAAUCGCUAGUAAUCGUAGAUCAGAAUGCUACGGUGAAUACGUUCCCGGGCCUUGUACACACCGCCCGUCACACCAUGGGAGUGGGUUGCAAAAGAAGUAGGUAGCUUAACCUUCGGGAGGGCGCUUACCACUUUGUGAUUCAUGACUGGGGUGAAGUCGUAACAAGGUAACCGUAGGGGAACCUGCGGUUGGAUCACCUCCUUA
rnacentral:rRNA from 1 species